rnacentral:rRNA from 1 species
GAUCCUGGCUCAGGACGAACGCUGGCGGCGUGCCUAACACAUGCAAGUCGAGCGGAGACAGUGAGUAGCUUGCUAUGAGCUGUUUUUAGCGGCGGACGGGUGAGUAACGCGUGAGCAACCUUUCCCAGACAGGGGAAUAACACACCGAAAGGUGUACUAAUACCGCAUAAGACCACGGAAUCACAUGGUUCUGGGGUAAAAGAUUUAUCGGUUUGGGGUGGGCUCGCGCCCGAUUAGGUAGUUGGUGAGGUAACGG